rnacentral:misc_RNA from 1 species
AUUUUAUUUUAUUUAUUUAUUUUAUUUAUUAUUUUAUUUUUAAAGGGUUUGAUUGUUUUCUAAGGAUCAAAACAUUUAUUGGGGUUUUGGUUUUGACUCCCACUAACGUAAAUGUGGUGCCAUUGUUAACCAUUGGCGAAUUGUCAGAUGUGGUUUUCUUUAUAUGUGCUGGAAUUGGGUACAACGCAUAUGAUCUAUCAAAGGGUCAUUCCCUUGUUGAGAGUAGUAUAAAAAUCAUUGAAAGGUUUUUAUUGAUUUGUUUUUCUUUUUCUUUUCAUGCUAACGUGGUGUUUUCUAUUUCUUGUUUGAUGUGGUGCUAGACCAACAGAACCAUUAUUAAAAUUUGGGAUUUCUAUUGAAGAGGCCAUUGUUGUAGCCCAUGGGCAACUUGGGCUAAUCAAGGGGCUUGCCCUGAUGUAGGAGUCCCAAAGGAUUAAUUUUCAAGGCUUAGUAAGGAGUUAUGUAGGUAAUUUGACCGGAUCCCUUAUGAAGGAAUUGAAUUUGGCUACCGUUCCUGCUAUUGGAGGAGUCGAUCCCUCUAUUGUAGAGGGCCAGGGUGUUAGUCCCAAUGUGGAAUAUCAGGCUACUAGAGCAUCACAUCUUUUGAUGGUCACUUCUAUAGCUGGCCCAAAUGUUGUUCAGCCUAGUGUUAAUAUUCCACAUUGGUUUGGGAUAGGGGUA